UGCGCACAUGAGGGUAUUACCUGU
rnacentral:misc_RNA from 1 species